rfam:complete chromosome Acholeplasma brassicae.
GGGCCUAUAGCUCAGCUGGUUAGAGCGCACGGCUGAUAACCGUGAGGUCGAUGGUUCGAGUCCAUUUAGGCCCA